rnacentral:tRNA from 1 species
ACUAUUUUGGCAGAAAAAUGUAAUGAUUUUAGAAGUCAUUUAUAUAUAAUUUAAUUAUAUAGAUAGUA